UAGAGUGAAGCUCACUGGAUUGAGUGUUUGGCUGUUAACUAAAAUCUUGCGGGAUCGAGGCCCGUCACUCUAG
rnacentral:tRNA from 1 species